GAGUUGGUUUUACAGUGGUAGAAUUCUCGCCUUCCACGCAGGAGAUCCAGGCUCAAUUCCCGGCCGAAUCA
rnacentral:tRNA from 1 species